rnacentral:rRNA from 1 species
UACGAAGGGGGCUAGCGUUGCUCGGAAUUACUGGGCGUAAAGCGCACGUAGGCGGCUCUUUAAGUCGGGGGUGAAAUCCUGGAGCUCAACUCCAGAACUGCCUUCGAUACUGUAGAGCUUGAGUUCGGGAGAGGUGAGUGGAACUGCGAGUGUAGAGGUGAAAUUCGUAGAUAUUCGCAUGAACACCAGUGGCGAAGGCGGCUCACUGGCCCGAUACUGACGCUGAGGCACGAAGGCGUGGGGAGCAAACAGG